UACGGAAGGCAGCAGUGGGGAAUAUUGCACAAUGGGCGCAAGCCUGAUGCAGCCAUGCCGCGUGUAUGAAGAAGGCCUUCGGGUUGUAAAGUACUUUCAGUCGUGAGGAAGGUGUUAAGGUUAAUAACCUUAGCAAUUGACGUUAGCGACAGAAGAAGCACCGGCUAACUCCGUGCCAGCAGCCGCGGUAAUACGGAGGGUGCGAGCGUUAAUCGGAAUUACUGGGCGUAAAGGGCACGCAGGCGGUUAAUAAGUUGGAUGUGAAAUCCCCGGGCUUAACCUGGGAAUGGCAUUCAAGACUGGUUAGCUAGAGUCUUGUAGAGGGGGUAGAAUUCCAUGUGUAGCGGUGAAAUGCGUAGAGAUGUGGAGGAAUACCGGUGGCGAAAGGCGGCCCCUGGGACAAAGACUGACGCUCAUGUGCGAAAGCGUGGGGAGCAAACAGGAUUAGAUACC
rnacentral:rRNA from 1 species